CACAAAGUUCGUCGAGAGAAGCUUUUGUGGAAAUAUGUUGAGUGCCCGCAACAACAAGGAGGCACGGAGUGCGGUUAUUUUGUGAUGCGGUACAUUUUUGACGUACUCGCUUCAUAUUUUGGUUCGUUGGAUAUGGACAAAGUUGCUCAAACCUUUACCAAAGAUCCUUAUACGGAGGAUCAAAUCAAUGAGGUGAAGAAUAAGUGGGCAAGAUACUUUGUUGAUGAGUGCAUUGCAUAGGUUAGUUAGUUUAUGUUAAUAUUCUUU